rnacentral:rRNA from 1 species
UGGGGAAUAUUGCACAAUGGGCGCAAGCCUGAUGCAGCCAUGCCGCGUGUGUGAAGAAGGCCUUCGGGUUGUAAAGCACUUUCAGCGAGGAGGAAGGUGGUGGACUUAAUACGUUCAUCAAUUGACGUUACUCGCAGAAGAAGCACCGGCUAACUCCGUGCCAGCAGCCGCGGUAAUACGGAGGGUGCAAGCGUUAAUCGGAAUUACUGGGCGUAAAGCGCACGCAGGCGGUUUGUUAAGUCAGAUGUGAAAUCCCCGGGCUCAACCUGGGAACUGCAUUUGAAACUGGCAAGCUAGAGUCUCGUAGAGGGGGGUAGAAUUCCAGGUGUAGCGGUGAAAUGCGUAGAGAUCUGGAGGAAUACCGGUGGCGAAGGCGGCCCCCUGGACGAAGACUGACGCUCAGGUGCGAAAGCGUGGGGAGCAAAACAGGAUUAGAUACCCUGGUAGUCCACGCUGUAAAACGAUGUCGAUUUUGGAGGUUGUGCCCUUGAGGCGUGGCUUCCGGAGCUAACGCGUUAAAUCGACCGCCU